rnacentral:tRNA from 1 species
AAGAGAGAAAGAAACCGAACUAGAACUGCUAACUCUACGACCCAAAGUUAAACUCUUUGGCUCCCUUA